AAUAGAUACCCUGGUAGUCCACGCCGUAAACGAUGAGUGCUAAGUGUUAGAGGGUUUCCGCCCUUUAGUGCUGAAGUUAACGCAUUAAGCACUCCGCCUGGGGAGUACGGCCGCAAGGCUGAAACUCAAAGGAAUUGACGGGGGCCCGCACAAGCGGUGGAGCAUGUGGUUUAAUUCGAAGCAACGCGAAGAACCUUACCAGGUCUUGACAUCCUCUGACAACCCUAGAGAUAGGGCUUCUCCUUCGGGAGCAGAGUGACAGGUGGUGCAUGGUUGUCGUCAGCUCGUGUCGUGAGAUGUUGGGUUAAGUCCCGCAACGAGCGCAACCCUUGAUCUUAGUUGCCAUCAUUAAGUUGGGCACUCUAGGGUGACUGCCGGUGACAAACCGGAGGAAGGUGGGGAUGACGUCAAAUCAUCAUGCCCCUUAUGACCUGGGCUACACACGUGCUACAAUGGACGGUACAAAGAGCUGCAAGACCGCGAGGUGGAGCUAAUCUCAUAAAACCGUUCUCAGUUCGGAUUGUAGG
rnacentral:rRNA from 1 species